GGAAAGAUGAAAAGAACUUUGAAAAGAGAGUUAAACAGUACGUGAAAUUGUUGAAAGGGAAACGAUUGAAGUCAGUCAUACCAACGGGAAAUCAACCUUUUGAGCUUUGUCUCGUGGGUUCGAAGAGUUUAAACGCCUUCGGGUUCGCGAGAUUGGGAUCUUCUGGUGUACUUUCUCGUACGGUUAGUCAACAUCGGUUUUGAAUGUCAUAAAAUGACUGGAGGAAUGUAGCUUCGAUCUCGUAUCGAAGUGUUAUAGCCUUUGGUAGAUGUGAUGUUUGAGACCGAGGAUUGCAACAGAUACCCUUUAUAAGGGCUAUUCGUCUGAUCUCUGAUACGUUACCUUGAUGUUGAAAGCUUGCUUAUGAUGUUAGGGUAUUACGAUUAAAAGGUUAGAACGGAUUAAAUUCGUUAAGGAUGUUGACGUAAUGACUUUAAACGACCCGUCUUGAAACACGGACCA
rnacentral:rRNA from 2 species